rnacentral:rRNA from 1 species
GAUGAACGCUGGCGGCGUGCCUAACACAUGCAAGUCGAACGACCACACGAUGAGCUCUCUCCCUUACCGUUAGCGGCGGACGGGCGGGUAAGACGUACAUCACCUACUUCUAUUACUUGGAUAACUUCGUAAAACCGCUUCUACUACCGGAUAAUAUAUUCAACGGCAUGGUUCAGUAGUUCAUGACGCUUUUGCUGUCACUUAUAGAUGGUCCCGGGCCGCAUUAGCUAGUUGGUAGGGUAACGGCUUACCAAGGCAACGAUGCGUAGCUGACCUGAGAGGAUGAUCGGCCACACUGGAACUGAGACACGGUCCAGACUCCUAGGGGAGGCAGCAGUGGGAAAUAUUGGCAAAGGGGGGAAACCUGAAGGCAGAAAGCCGGGGGGGUUAUAGAGGUCUUCGGAGCUGAAAACUCUGUUUGUAGGGAAAAAAAAGUGGGAAAGUAACUAUGCACUGCUUGACGGGAACUAAUAAGAAAGGCACGGCUAACCACGGU